rnacentral:lncRNA from 1 species
GGGUCCUCAGAUGCUGACUCAGAGGCUAGAAAUGUCAGAAUCAUUUUGAAAAAAUACAUAAAAUACAGCUUUGUAGUUCUCUCCCCUGAAGAUUCUGAUUCAAAGUGUCUGAGAGUCUCUGGACAUCUGCAUUUUCAUAAGUGCCUUGAGAUAUAUUGCAGACAGAGAGGAUGGAAGUGUUCUUCCCACACUACUCCUUGUUGGACAGUGGAGUGGAAAUCAUCUGCCAUCCAUGGAGACACCAGGAGUUUGGUGGUCUCCUGAGAGGUGUGCAUGCCAGUGUCUCCAGGCUGCAUUGCUCUCUGGCUGGGAGAGCCAGCGGAAGGUAGACUGGCAGACAUGGUGUCCAAGCCCCAUGCGCCUGUGGGUGGAAGCCAUCCUGAUUCUCUCUGAGAAUUUUUCUCCAGCCCAACCGAGUGAAGAACUUGCUUUUUUCAAUUUGGGAACAGUGGGUAUUUUCAAGUCACCAAUUUGUGUGAACCCAGAUUUACCACCACAUACUAUUAAAAUUCUGCCAAUUUUGUCAUAA